GUUUAUGGCCAUGCUACCCUGAAAAAGCCCAAUCCUGUCUGAUCUUGGAAGCUAAGCAGGGUUGGGCCUGGUUAAUACUUGGAUGGGAAGACCAGGUGCUGUAGGUG
rnacentral:rRNA from 1 species